AGAGUUUGAUCAUGGCUCAGAUUGAACGCUGGCGGCAGGCCUAACACAUGCAAGUCGAGCGGUAACAGAUCCAGCUUGCUGGAUGCUGACGAGCGGCGGACGGGUGAGUAAUGCAUAGGAAUCUGCCCGGUAGUGGGGGAUAACCUGGGGAAACCCAGGCUAAUACCGCAUACGUCCUACGGGAGAAAGCAGGGGACCUUCGGGCCUUGCGCUAUCAGAUGAGCCUAGGUCGGAUUAGCUAGUUGGUGAGGUAAAGGCUCACCAAGGCGACGAUCCGUAACUGGUCUGAGAGGAUGAUCAGUCACACUGGAACUGAGACACGGUCCAGACUCCUACGGGAGGCAGCAGUGGGGAAUAUUGGACAAUGGGCGAAAGCCUGAUCCAGCCAUGCCGCGUGUGUGAAGAAGGUCUUCGGAUUGUAAAGCACUUUAAGUUGGGAGGAAGGGCAGUAAGUUAAUACCUUGCUGUUUUGACGUUACCGACAGAAUAAGCACCGGCUAACUUCGUGCCAGCAGCCGCGGUAAUACGAAGGGUGCAAGCGUUAAUCGGAAUUACUGGGCGUAAAGCGCGCGUAGGUGGCUUGAUAAGCCGGUUGUGAAAGCCCCGGGCUCAACCUGGGAACGGCAUCCGGAACUGUCAAGCUAGAGUGCAGGAGAGGAAGGUAGAAUUCCCGGUGUAGCGGUGAAAUGCGUAGAGAUCGGGAGGAAUACCAGUGGCGAAGGCGGCCUUCUGGACUGACACUGACACUGAGGUGCGAAAGCGUGGGUAGCAAACAGGAUUAGAUACCCUGGUAGUCCACGCCGUAAACGAUGUCGACCAGCCGUUGGGUGCCUAGCGCACUUUGUGGCGAAGUUAACGCGAUAAGUCGACCGCCUGGGAGUACGGCCGCAAGGUUAAAACUCAAAUGAAUUGACGGGGGCCCGCACAAGCGGUGGAGCAUGUGGUUUAAUUCGAUGCAACGCGAAGAACCUUACCUACUCUUGACAUCCUGCGAAUUUGGGUAGAGAUACCUUUAGUGCCUUUCGGGAACGCAGAGACAGUGCUGCAUGGCUGUCGUCAGCUCGUGUUGUGAAAUGUUUGGGUUAAGUUCCCGUAACGAGGCGCAACCU
rnacentral:rRNA from 1 species